rnacentral:rRNA from 1 species
UAAUAAUUUUUUUGAUUUUAAUUUUUUUUUUUUUAUAAAAGUAAUUUUUUUGUUAUAGUAUUUUUUUUUGAAUUUAAUUAUUUUUUCUAUAGUUGAUUAUGUACUUAAUAGGAUAAUUAAUUUAUUUUUAUGGAAGUAAAUUUAUUUUUUUACCUUUUGUAUCAGGGAUGAUUAAUUUAUUUUAAUUUAUUUUAUUUUCUCGAAUAUAAGCGAUUUAAUUAUUAAAUGUUAUUUAAUGUUGUAUAAUUAUUAAUAAUUUAUUUUUGGUAAUGAUAUGUUAUUCGUUCUUUUUGAUAUCUAGUUUCUUAAGAUUAAAUUUAAUUUUUUAUUAUUUAGUUUUUUUGUGAUUUUGGUUUCAAAUUAUUUUUUAAUAUUAUUUUAUUGGGGAUAAUCUUGAUAUAGUUGUAAUAAUUUUUUUUAAUAAUAAUUUUUGUAGGCUUAGAAUCAGCAUUCAUUUGAUUACGUAAUUGUUUAUUUUAUUAGUUAUUAAAUUUUUUUUUAUUUUAUUUUUUAUUAAGAUUAUUAUUUUAACUACUAAUUUAUUUAAUAAUGAUUAUAUUAGUAUAAUGUUUAUUUUUUUUAUAGGAAUUCAGCAAAAAUUGGUUUUCACCUGUUUAUCAAAAACAUGUCCUUUAGAAUUUAUAUUUAAGGUCUAAUCUGCUCAAUGAUUGUGAUUAAAUAGCCAUGGUAAAUUGACCAUGCAAAGGUAGCAUAAUAAUUAGUCUUUUAAUUGAAGUCUGGUAUGAAUGAUUGAAUGAGAAACUUACUUUCUUUGAAAUUUAAUUUGAAUUUAAUUUUUAAGUGAAAAAGCUUAAAUUUUUUUAAGUGACGAUAAGACCCUAUAGAUCUUGAAAUUUAUUUUAUUAUUAUUAUUUUGGUUUAAUUAUUAAUAUUUUUUAAUUUUAAUAAGUUUUUUGUUGGGGUGAUAAAUAUUAAUUUUAAUAACUUUAUUUUAUUAAUUUCAUUUAUUUAUGUUUAUUUAUGAUCCAUUAUUAUUGAUUAUAAGAAUAAGUUACCUUAGGGAUAACAGCGUAAUUUUUUUGUAGAGUUCAUAUCGAUAAAAAAUUUUGCGACCUCGAUGUUGGAUUAAGAUAAAAUUAGGGGGUAGAUUUUCUAAAUUUAAGUCUGUUCGACUUUUAAAUUCUUACAUGAUCUGAGUUCAGACCGGCGUGAGCCAGGUUGGUUUCUAUCUUUAAAGUUUAUUGAUUAUUUUAGUACGAAAGGACCAAUAUAAUCGAUUAAUAAUUUUUUAUUUGAAUUUUAUUAA